GUGGCUUCCGGAGCUAACGCGUUAAGUAGACCGCCUGGGGAGUACGGCCGCAAGGUUAAAACUCAAAUGAAUUGACGGGGGCCCGCACAAGCGGUGGAGCAUGUGGUUUAAUUCGAUGCAACGCGAAGAACCUUACCUGGUCUUGACAUCCACAGAACUUUCCAGAGAUGGAUUGGUGCCUUCGGGAACUGUGAGACAGGUGCUGCAUGGCUGUCGUCAGCUCGUGUUGUGAAAUGUUGGGUUAAGUCCCGCAACGAGCGCAACCCUUAUCCUUUGUUGCCAGCGAUUAGGUCGGGAACUCAAAGGAGACUGCCAGUGAUAAACUGGAGGAAGGUGGGGAUGACGUCAAGUCAUCAUGGCCCUUACGACCAGGGCUACACACGUGCUACAAUGGCGCAUACAAAGAGAAGCGACCUCGCGAGAGCAAGCGGACCUCAUAAAGUGCGUCGUAGUCCGGAUUGGAGUCUGCAACUCGACUCCAUGAAGUCGGAAUCGCUAGUAAUCGUGGAUCAGAAUGCCACGGUGAAUACGUUCCCGGGCCUUGUACACACCGCCCGUCACACCAUGGGAGUGGGUUGCAAAAGAAGUAGGUAGCUUAACCUUCGGGAGGGCGCUUACCACUUUGUGAUUCAUGACUGGGGUGAAGUCGUAACAAGGUAACCGUAGGGGAACCUGCGGUUGGA
rnacentral:rRNA from 1 species